AACGAACGCUGGCGGCAGGCUUAACACAUGCAAGUCGAGCGCCCCGCAAGGGGAGCGGCAGACGGGUGAGUAACGCGUGGGAAUCUACCCAUCUCUACGGAAUAACGCAUGGAAACGUGUGCUAAUACCGUAUACGUCCUUCGGGAGAAAGAUUUAUCGGAGAUGGAUGAGCCCGCGUUGGAUUAGCUGGUUGGUGGGGUAAAGGCCUACCAAGGCGACGAUCCAUAGCUGGUCUGAGAGGACGAUCAGCCACACUGGGACUGAGACACGGCCCAGACUCCUACGGGAGGCAGCAGUGGGGAAUAUUGGACAAUGGGCGCAAGCCUGAUCCAGCCAUGCCGCGUGAGUGAUGAAGGCCCUAGGGUUGUAAAGUUCUUUCACCGGUGAAGAUAAUGACGGUAACCGGAGAAGAAGCCCCGGCUAACUUCGUGCCAGCCGCCGCAGUAAAAC
rnacentral:rRNA from 1 species